AAUAGAUACCCGGGUAGUCCACGCCGUAAACGAUGAGUGCUAAGUGUUAGAGGGUUUCCGCCCUUUAGUGCUGCAGCUAACGCAUUAAGCACUCCGCCUGGGGAGUACGGCCGCAAGGCUGAAACUCAAAGGAAUUGACGGGGGGCCCGCACAAGCGGUGGAGCAUGUGGUUUAAUUCGAAGCAACGCGAAGAACCUUACCAGGUCUUGACAUCCUCUGCCAACCCUAGAGAUAGGGCGUUCCCCCUUCGGGGGGACAGAGUGACAGGUGGUGCAUGGUUGUCGUCAGCUCGUGUCGUGAGAUGUUGGGUUAAGUCCUGCAACGAGCGCAACCCUUGAUUUUAGUUGCCAGCAUUCAGUUGGGGCACUCUAAGGUGACUGCCGGUGACAAACCGGAGGAAGGUGGGGAUGACGUCAAAUCAUCAUGCCCCUUAUGACCUGGGCUACACACGUGCUACAAUGGAUGGUACAAAGAGCUGCGAACCCGCGAGGGUAAGCCAAUCUCAUAAAGCCAUUCUCAGUUCGGA
rnacentral:rRNA from 1 species